rnacentral:sRNA from 1 species
GCCCAAAGUCGCACGUGCCUGUGGGUGUCCGCCGAACCCUCGAAUGGUGAGGAAAUUCGGUAAGGUACCUGGAACUAACCCCUCCAGUCGCUUCUCCGGCCAACCGGAAAGAGCGAGGACAUCUUGAAGCAACGACGGUGCGGGCCUUU